UAGCUCAGACGGUAAAGCAUCUGCCUACAAUGCAGAAGACCUGGGUUCAAUCCCUAG
rnacentral:tRNA from 1 species